GCGGAGGAAAAGAAACCAACAGGGAUUGCCUCAGUAACGGCGAGUGAAGCGGCAACAGCUCAGAUUUGAAAUCCGGCGCAAGCCAGAGUUGUAAUCUGCAGAGGAACGUUCGGUUGAGGUGCCGGUGCAAGUCUCCUGGAACGGAGCGUCACAGAGGGUGAGAAUCCCGUACCUGCCGGCAACCGACGCCAUGUGAACGUCCUUCGACGAGUCGAGUUGUUUGGGAAUGCAGCUCAAAACGGGUGGUAAAUUCCAUCUAAAGCUAAAUAUUGGCCAGAGACCGAUAGCGCACAAGUAGAGUGAUCGAAAGAUGAAAAGCACUUUGGAAAGAGGGUUAAAAAGUACGUGAAAUUGUUGAAAGGGAAGCGCUCACGAUCAGCUUCGGCCGCGGUUGCUCAGCCGGUCUUUUGACCGGUGCACUCUUCCGCGGCCCUGCCAGCAUCGGUUUGAACGGACGGACAAAGGCUUGGGGAAUGUGGCCUUCCUCGGGAGGUGUUAUAGCCCCUUGCACAAUACGUCCAGUUUGGACCGAGGUUCGCGCAUCGCUAGGAUGCUGGCUUAAUGGUCGUUAGCGGCCCGUCUUGAAACACGGACCAAGGAGUCUACCAGCUGUGCGAGUAUUAGGGCGUCAAACCCUGGAUGCGCAAUGAAAGUGAACGGAGGUGGGAGCUUCGGCGCACCAUCGACCGAUCCGGAGGUUCUCCGAAGGAUUUGAGUAAGAGCAUUGCUGGUGGGACCCGAAAGAUGGUGAACUAUGCGUGAAUAGGGUGAAGCCAGAGGAAA
rnacentral:misc_RNA from 1 species